GACAGAGGUGCCAAGCGUUAGGCGGAAUUACUGGGCGUAAAGCGUGCGUAGGCGGUUCGUUAAGUCAGCUGUGAAAGCCCCGGGCUCAACCUGGGAACUGCGGUUGAAACUGGCGAACUAGAAUCUGGCAGAGGGGGGUGGAAUUCCACGUGUAGCAGUGAAAUGCGUAGAGAUGUGGAGGAACACCGAUGGCGAAGGCAGCCCCCUGGGCUGAGAUUGACGCUCAGGCACGAAAGCGUGGGGAGCAAACAGG
rnacentral:rRNA from 1 species